rnacentral:rRNA from 1 species
GACGAACGCUGGCGGCGUGCUUAACACAUGCAAGUCGUACGGUAAGGCCCUUUCGGGGGUACACGAGUGGCGAACGGGUGAGUAACACGUGAGUAACCUGCCCACAACUUUGGGAUAACGCUAGGAAACUGGUGCUAAUACUGGAUAUGUGCUCCUGCUGCAUGGUGGGGGUUGGAAAGCUCCGGCGGUUGUGGAUGGACUCGCGGCCUAUCAGCUUGUUGGUGGGGUAGUGGCCUACCAAGGCGGCGACGGGUAGCCGGCCUGAGAGGGUGACCGGCCACAUUGGGACUGAGAUACGGCCCAGACUCCUACGGGAGGCAGCAGUGGGGAAUAUUGCACAAUGGGCGCAAGCCUGAUGCAGCAACGCCGCGUGCGGGAUAACGGUCUUCGGGUUGGAAACCGCUUUCAGCAGGGACGAAGCUUUUUGUGACGGUACCUGCAGAAGAAGCACCGGCUAACUACGUG